rnacentral:rRNA from 1 species
AUUGAACGCUGGCGGAAUGCUUUACACAUGCAAGUCGAACGGUAGAGGGGGCAACCCCUCGAGAGUGGCGAACGGGUGAGUAAUAUAUCGGAACGUGCCCAGUCGUGGGGGAUAACGUAGCGAAAGUUACGCUAAUACCGCAUACGAUCUAAGGAUGAAAGCGGGGGAUCGCAAGACCUCGCGCGAUUGGAGCGGCCGAUAUCAGAUUAGGUAGUUGGUGGGGUAAAGGCUCACCAAGCCAGCGAUCUGUAGCUGGUCUGAGGGGACGACCAGCCACACUGGAACUGGGACACGGUCCAGACUCCUACGGGAGGCAGCAGUGGGGAAUUUUGGACAAUGGACGCAAGUCUGAUCCAGCCAUUCCGCGUGCAGGAUGAAGGCCCUCGGGUUGUAAACCGCUUUUGUACGGAACGAAAAGGUCUCUCUUAAUACGGGGGACUCAUGACGGUACCGCAAGAAUAAGCACCGGCUAACUACGUGCCAGCCGCCGCCGUAAGAC